GAGGUUGUGGCUCAAGUGGUAGAGCACUUGCCUAGCAUGUGUGACGCACUGAGUUCAAUUCUCAGCACCACA
rnacentral:tRNA from 1 species